UGGGGAAUAUUGGACAAUGGACCAAAAGUCUGAUCCAGCAAUUCUGUGUGCACGAUGAAGUUUUUCGGAAUGUAAAGUGCUUUCAGUUGGGAAGAAGAAAGUGACGGUACCAACAGAAGAAGCGACGGCUAAAUACGUGCCAGCAGCCGCGGUAAUACGUAUGUCGCAAGCGUUAUCCGGAUUUAUUGGGCGUAAAGCGCGUCUAGGCGGCUAAGUAAGUCUGAUGUGAAAAUGCGGGGCUCAACCCCGUAUUGCGUUGGAAACUGUUUAGCUAGAGUACUGGAGAGGUAAGCGGAACUACAAGUGUAGAGGUGAAAUUCGUAGAUAUUUGUAGGAAUGCCGAUGGGGAAGCCAGCUUACUGGACAGAUACUGACGCUAAAGCGCGAAAGCGUGGGUAGCAAACA
rnacentral:rRNA from 1 species